rnacentral:SRP_RNA from 1 species
CCUGUAAUACCAGCUACUCAGGAGAGGCAGGAGGACGGCUUGAGGCAGGAGUUCCAGGCAGUGGUACACUAUGCAGAUAGGGGGCCACACUAAGUUUGGCAUCCACAUAGUGACCUCCCAGGAGCAAGGGACCACCAGGUUGCCUAGGGAGGGGUGAAGCAGCCCAGACUGGAAACAGGAGCAGGUCAAAACACCCAUGAUGAUCAGUAGUGGGAUCACACCUGUGAAUAGCCCUGCACUCUAGCCUGGGCAAGAUUGCGAGGCCCUGUCUCU